AGUCAAGUAAUUAAGUGCAUGUGGUGGAUGCCUUGGCAGUCAGAGGCGAUGAAAGACGUGAUAGCCUGCGAAAAGCUCCGGGGAGGCGGCAAAUAUCCUUUGAUCCGGAGAUGUCUGAAUGGGGGAACCCACCUACUUUAAGGUAGGUAUUGCAACAUGAAUACAUAGUGUUGCAAGGCGAACGAGGGGAAGUGAAACAUCUCAGUACCCUUAGGAAAAGAAAUCAAUUGAGAUUCCCUCAGUAGCGGCGAGCGAACGGGGAUCAGCCCAUUAAGUUAUGUGUGUUUUAGUGGAACGCUCUGGGAAGUGCGAACGUAGAGGGUGAUAUUCCCGUACACGAAAGGGCACACAUAAUGAUGACGAGUAGGGCGAGGCACGUGAAACCUUGUCUGAAUAUGGGGGGACCAUCCUCCAAGGCUAAAUACUCCUGACUGACCGAUAGUGAACCAGUACCGUGAGGGAAAGGCGAAAAGAACCCCUGUGAGGGGAGUGAAAUAGAUCCUGAAACCGCAUGCAUACAAGCAGUGGGAGCACCUUCGUGGUGUGACUGCGUACCUUUUGUAUAAUGGGUCAGCGACUUAUAUUCAGUAGCAANNNNNNNNNNNNNNNNNNNNNNNNNNNNNNNNNNNNNNNNNNNNNNNNNNNNNNNNNNNNNNNNNNNNNNNNNNNNNNNNNNNNNNNNNNNNNNNNNUAUGCUGGAGGUAUCAGAAGUGCGAAUGCUGACGUGAGUAACGACAAAACGGGUGAAAAACCCGUUCGCCGAAAGACCAAGGGUUCCAGUCCAACGUUAAUCGGGGCUGGGUGAGUCGACCCCUAAGGCGAGGCCGAAAGGCGUAGUCGAUGGGAAAAUGGUUAAUAUUCCAUUACUUCUGUGUAAUGCGAUGAGAGGACGGAGAAGGCUAAAUCAGCCUGGCGUUGGUUGUCCAGGUGAAAGGAUGUAGGCAUGUAUCUUAGGCAAAUCCGGGGUACUCUAUGCUGAGAUCUGAUAGCAAGCUGUACUUGUACAGCGAAGUGGUUGAUGCCAUGCUUCCAGGAAAAGUCUCUAAGCUUCAGUUACACAGGAAUCGUACCCGAAACCGACACAGGUGGUCAGGUCGAGUAGACCAAGGCGCUUGAGAGAACUCUGCUGAAGGAACUAGGCAAAAUGGUACCGUAACUUCGGGAGAAGGUACGCUGUUGUUGGUGAUGGAACUCGCUUCCUGAGCUGACGACAGCCGCAGAAACCAGGCCGCUGCAACUGUUUAUUAAAAACAUAGCACUCUGCAAACACGAAAGUGGACGUAUAGGGUGUGAUGCCUGCCCGGUGCUGGAAGGUUAAUUGAUGGGGUUAGCGUAAGCGAAGCUCUUGAUCGAAGCCCCAGUAAACGGCGGCCGUAACUAUAACGGUCCUAAGGUAGCGAAAUUCCUUGUCGGGUAAGUUCCGACCUGCACGAAUGGCAUAAUGAUGGCGGCGCUGUCUCCAGCAGAGGCUCAGUGAAAUCGAAAUCGCUGUGAAGAUGCAGUGUACCCGCGGCUAGACGGAAAGACCCCGUGAACCUUUACUGCAGCUUGACACUGAACUUUGACCUUACUUGUGUAGGAUAGGUGGGAGGCUUUGAAGCUGGAACGCUAGUUCCAGUGGAGCCGUCCUUGAAAUACCACCCUGGUAAUGUUGAGGUUCUAACUCUGUCCCGUGAUCCGGGACGAGGACCGUGUCUGGUGGGUAGUUUGACUGGGGCGGUCUCCUCCUAAAGAGUAACGGAGGAGUACGAAGGUGCGCUCAGCGUGGUCGGAAAUCACGCGUAGAGUAUAAAGGCAAAAGCGCGCUUAACUGCGAGACCCACAAGUCGAGCAGGUACGAAAGUAGGUCUUAGUGAUCCGGUGGUUCUGUAUGGAAGGGCCAUCGCUCAACGGAUAAAAGGUACUCUGGGGAUAACAGGCUGAUACCGCCCAAGAGUUCAUAUCGACGGCGGUGUUUGGCACCUCGAUGUCGGCUCAUCUCAUCCUGGGGCUGAAGCAGGUCCCAAGGGUAUGGCUGUUCGCCAUUUAAAGAGGUACGCGAGCUGGGUUUAGAACGUCGUGAGACAGUUCGGUCCCUAUCUACCGUGGGCGCUGGAAAUUUGAGAGGAUCUGCUCCUAGUACGAGAGGACCAGAGUGGACGAACCUCUGGUGUACCGGUUGUGACGCCAGUCGCAUCGCCGGGUAGCUAUGUUCGGAAGGGAUAACCGCUGAAAGCAUCUAAGCGGGAAGCCUACCUCAAGAUAAGAUUUCCCUAGGACUUUAUGUCCUCUAAAGAGCCGUUCGAGACUAGGACGUUGAUAGGUUGGAUGUGGAAGCAUAGUGAUAUGUGAAGCUGACCAAUACUAAUUGCUCGUGAGGCUUGACUAU
rnacentral:rRNA from 1 species